rnacentral:rRNA from 1 species
UACGUAGGUGGCAAGCGUUGUCCGGAAUUAUUGGGCGUAAAGCGCUCGCAGGCGGUUUCUUAGGUCUGAUGUGAAAGUCCACGGCUCAACCGUGGAGGGUCAUUGGAAACUGGGAGACUUGAGUGCAGAAGAGGAGAGUGGAAUUCCACGUGUAGCGGUGAAAUGCGUAGAGAUGUGGAGGAACACCAGUGGCGAAGGCGACUCUCUGGUCUGUAACUGACGCUGAGGAGCGAAAGCGUGGGGAGCAAACAGG